CACGUAGUUAGCCGGGGCUUCUUAGUCAGGUACUGUCAUUUUCUUCCCUGCUGAUAGGGCUUUACAUACCGAAAUACUUCUUCACUCACGCGGCGUUGCUGCAUCAGGGUUUCCCCCAUUGUGCAAUAUUCCCCACUGCUGCCUCCCGUAGGAGUUUGGGCCGUGUCUCAGUCCCAAUGUGGCCGGUCACCCUCUCAGGCCGGCUACUGAUCGUCGCCUUGGUGAGCCGUUACCUCACCAACCAGCUAAUCAGACGCGGGUCCAUCUUACACCGAUAGCUCUUUCCGUCAGGGUCAUGCGACCCCAGCGGGUUAUGCGGUAUUAGCAGUCAUUUCUAACUGUUAUCCCCCUGUGUAAGGCAGGUUACCCACGCGUUACUCACCCGUCCGCCGCUCAGUCAAACCAUCUUCAUUCCGAAGAAUUCAAUAGAGUGCUUCGCUCGACUUGCAUGUGUUAAGCUACGCCGCCAGCGUUCAUCCUGAGCCAGGAUCAAACUCUACG
rnacentral:rRNA from 1 species